CAGUUUCUCUAGACUGGCUCUGCUGCCACUUGCUGGUUUGAACAUGUUAUUUGUCAGAUCUCAGAAGCUAAGCAAGGCCAGGCCUGGUUAGUACUUGGAUGGGAGACUCACCGUGUGGCGCCAGUGGCAAAAACUGU
rnacentral:rRNA from 1 species